rnacentral:misc_RNA from 1 species
GAUGAAGAACGUAGCGAAAUGCGAUACUUGGUGUGAAUUGCAGAAUCCCGCGAAUCAUCGAGUUUUUGAACGCAAGUUGCGCCCGAAGCCAUUCGGCCGAGGGCACGUCUGCCUGGGUGUCACGCAUCGUUGCCCCCCCAAACUCCGGUUCGGGCGGGGCGGAAGUUGGCCUCCCGUGCGUGCCUGCGCGCGCGGUUAGCCCAAAAGCGAGUCCUCGGCGACGAGCGCCACGACAAUCGGUGGUUGCGAAACCUCGGUUGCCCGUCGUGUGCGGUCGUCGCGCAUCGAGGGCUCGAAAAAAUUGCCGGGCUCUGUUUCGGCUUUCAACGCGACCCCAGGUCAGGCGGGGUUACCCGCUGAAUUUAAGCAUAUCAAUAAGCGGAGGA